GCUCCCUUCGUCUAGUGGUUAGGACACUGGCCUCUCACGCCGGUAACAGGGGUUCGAGUCCCCUAGGGAGCACCA
rnacentral:tRNA from 1 species